rnacentral:rRNA from 1 species
GCCCCGCAAGGGGUAAGUAGAGUGGCAAACGGGUGAGUAACACGUGGGUGACCUGCCUCAGAGUGGGGGAUAACGACCCGAAAGGGUCGCUAAUACCGCAUAACAUCCUGCUUUUGGACAAGUGGAGAUCAAAGCCGGGGAUCGCAAGACCUGGCGCUUAGAGAGGGGCCCGCGGCCGAUUAGCUAGUUGGUAGGGUAACGGCCUACCAAGGCAACGAUCGGUAUCCGGCCUGAGAGGGCGGACGGACACACUGGGACUGAGACACGGCCCAGACUCCUACGGGAGGCAGCAGUGGGGAAUUGUUCGCAAUGGGCGCAAGCCUGACGACGCAACGCCGCGUGGAGGAUGAAGACCUUCGGGUCGUAAACUCCUUUCGAUCGGGAAGAACGUUUUCGGGGUGAAUAAUCCCGAGAAGUGACGGUACCGAGAGAAGAAGCCCCGGCUAACUCUGUGCCAGCAGCCGCGGUAAUACAGGGGGGGCAAGCGUUGUUCGGAAUUACUGGGCGUAAAGGGCCAGUAGGCGGCCAACUAAGUCCGACGUGAAAUCCCCAGGCUUAACCUGGGAACUGCGUCGGAUACUGGAUGGCUUGAAUUCGGGAGAGGGAUGCAGAAUUCCAGGUGUAGCGGUGAAAUGCGUAGAUAUCUGGAGGAAUACCGGUGGCGAAGGCGGCAUCCUGGACCGACAUUGACGCUGAACGGCGAAAGCUAGGGGAGCAAACGGGAUUAGAUACCCCGGUAGUCCUAG